rnacentral:hammerhead_ribozyme from 1 species
AUCCAACUGAUGAGUCCCAAAUAGAACCAAAUAGGACGAAAUGCAUGUCCUGGAU